rnacentral:tRNA from 1 species
UCCAUGGAGGACUAGUGGUUAGGCCUCGGUGCUCUCACCACUGCGCCCCGGGUUCAAUUCCCAGCCAGGGAA